GCUCAACCUGGGAACUGCAUCUGAUACUGGCAAGCUUGAGUCUCGUAGAGGGGGGUAGAAUUCCAGGUGUAGCGGUGAAAUGCGUAGAGAUCUGGAGGAAUACCGGUGGCGAAGGCGGCCCCCUGGACGAAGACUGACGCUCAGGUGCGAAAGCGUGGGGAGCAAACAGGAUUAGAUACCCUGGUAGUCCACGCCGUAAACGAUGUCGACUUGGAGGUUGUGCCCUUGAGGCGUGGCUUCCGGAGCUAACGCGUUAAGUCGACCGCCUGGGGAGUACGGCCGCAAGGUUAAAACUCAAAUGAAUUGACGGGGGCCCGCACAAGCGGUGGAGCAUGUGGUUUAAUUCGAUGCAACGCGAAGAACCUUACCUGGUCUUGACAUCCACGGAAGUUUUCAGAGAUGAGAAUGUGCCUUCGGGAACCGUGAGACAGGUGCUGCAUGGCUGUCGUCAGCUCGUGUUGUGAAAUGUUGGGUUAAGUCCCGCAACGAGCGCAACCC
rnacentral:rRNA from 1 species